rnacentral:rRNA from 1 species
GACGUAGGGGGCAAGCGUUUGUUCGGAAUUAUUGGGCGUAAAGGGUGCGUAGGCGGUUCCGCAAGUCCUGUGUGAAAUCUUCGGGCUCAACUCGAAGUCUGCACGGGAAACUGCGGGGCUUGAGUGUGGGAGAGGUGAGUGGAAUUCCCCGGUGUAGCGGUGAAAUGCGUAGAUAUCGGGGAGGAACACCUGUGGCGAAAGCGGCUCACUGGACCAUAACUGACGCUGAUGCACGAAAGCUGGGGGAGCAAACAGG